rnacentral:rRNA from 1 species
CCUACGGGUGGCAGCAGUGAGGAAUAUUGGUCAAUGGACGAGAGUCUGAACCAGCCAAGUCGCGUGAAGGCAGACUGCCCUAUGGGUUGUAAACUUCUUUUAUAUGGGAAUAACAUGUUCCACGUGUGGGAUUUUGUAUGUACCAUAUAAAUAAGGAUCGGCUAACUCCGUGCCAGCAGCCGCGGUAAUACGGAGGAUCCGAGCGUUAUCCGGAUUGAUGGGGUUUAAAGGGAGCGUAGGUGGAUUGUUAAGUCAGUUGUGAACGUUUGCGGAUCAACCGUAAAAUUGCAGUUGAAACUGGCAGUCUUGAGUACAGUAGAGGUGGGCGGAAUUCGUGGUGUAGCGGUGAAAUGCUUAGAUAUCACGAAGAACUCCGAUUGCGAAGGCAGUUCACUGGACUGCAACUGACACUGAGGCUCGAAAGUGUGGGUAUCAAACAGGAUUAGAUACCCCUGUAGUC